UAUUAGUAUAAAGCCUCAUUGUACAUCUUAUUUCUGAACACAUGUAUCCAUUGGCCUGUAGUGUUUUUAAUAAGAGUUCUUGUUCUUCAGCGAUGUGGUCUGUGGCACAUAUCCGUUUGGCUCCUUCUGACAGUAUUAUUGUUUUUGACUAGGAUGAUGGUUAGAUAGUUUAUGUAGAUACCGAUCGGUGUGCGUAGGUUUUUGGUAUACUGUUUGGUCUAAAUGUUCGCCCACCCUUCUUACUAGGACAUCCAAAAAAGGUAUUUGGUCCUCCUUCUCCAAUUCCAUUGUGAGUUUAGGUGUUUUAUAAACUGAUCUAGUAGAACUGUUGUCCAUGUUUCCAUGUCAAGUAUCUUUCACAUAACGGUACUAAACAGAAGCUUUUUAUUCCAACUUUUCCACAAAGAAAUGGCGUUCCUUGGACUAAGAGGACUUCCCAUUGCUAAUCCUUCAGUUUGUCCGCAGAAUUUGUUGUUACAAACGAAAUAGUUUUCAGUUUGUGUUUGUUAUUUCGUUUCUGUGAAUUUUUAUUAAAAUUUUAUAAUUAUAAAUUUUAUGAUUACUUUCUUCUUCUAAUUUAAAAAUUUUCAGUAACAUUUUUUAUUAAUAUUGUGAAUUCUUAACAAGAUAUUUGUGGAUGUAACUUUAACCUACGGAAGGAUCAUUAUCGUGUUCACACAUAAACGAACGUCUGUACGUCUGUGGGUGUCGGGAGCAUAAUUGAUUAGAUACCACAACGUUUAGUGAAAACUUAGUUUUUACUGCUCGUUGAUUGUUGAACUAUACAAUAGUAAUGUAAUAAUUAAAACUAAUAAUAAACUAUUUAUUUAGUUACUGAACCAUGUCAUAAAUAGAAUAAAUAUAAAUAAUUUAAAGAAA